ACAAAAAUCAUACAUAUUUCGCAACACAUUCCCACAAAGACCAUCAGGCGAUCGAGCCCUGGUGGUUCGAACUCUGAUGACGGCGAAGACCAUCAGAUGUCAACAUGCCUGGAAGCAGUCCUGAUAAAACUUGGCUGGC
ensembl:ncRNA T14G8.5 ncRNA